UACGUAGGGUGCGAGCGUUGUCCGGAAUUACUGGGCGUAAAGAGCUCGUAGGUGGUUUGUCGCGUUGUUCGUGAAAACUCACAGCUCAACUGUGGGCGUGCGGGCGGUACGGGCAGACUGGAGUACUGCAGGGGAGACUGGAAUUCCUGGUGUAGCGGUGGAAUGCGCAGAUAUCAGGAGGAACACCGGUGGCGAAGGCGGGUCUCUGGGCAGUAACUGACGCUGAGGAGCGAAAGCGUGGGGAGCGAACAGG
rnacentral:rRNA from 1 species